GCCUCUUCUAAAAAGCCAAAGGGCUAAAAAUGAGCUGAAUAUUGAAGAACUCUCGAGAUACUACAAUGAAGACAUUUUUCUUGAGUUUUUUAUCUGUUAAAUAAGCUGAAAUCUACCUAAGUAUUACACCAAACAGUGUAUACAAGUUGAAGAUUAAAGAAAGGCUGGCAGCUACUAAUUUCUGGUGUAAUUGUGAGGUUCAAGAGGUCCAAUAUUGCUAUGUUCAUUACUGGGGCUAACACAUGAGUUAAGUAAGGAACUGUGCUUUAGGGAUGCACAACAUCCUUGAAUCUUGCUUGUGGCUUAAUGAGUUGGCGUAUUUCCUUACAUGCACUUACUAGCAUGAAUUUUGCUUUAUUUUGGGUUAAAUAUGUCAAAACUUGUAACUUCUAUUUGGGAUAUGUAAUAAGUACCUAAAUGCAUCCUUUGAGACUUAUUUGACAUAUAUGUGAUGAGACCAAGAGCCUAGAAGCUUAUAGUUUACUUUUA